rnacentral:rRNA from 1 species
GUCUACAGCCAUACCACCCUGAAUGCACCCGAUCUCAUCUGAUCUCGGAAGCUAAGCAGGGUCGGGCCUGGUUAGUACUUGGAUGGGAGAAAGAAAGAAAAAACCCCUUGACAGCAUGAG